rnacentral:rRNA from 1 species
GACGAACGCUGGCGGCGUGCUUAACACAUGCAAGUCGAACGGAAAGGCCCUGCUUUUGUGGGGUGCUCGAGUGGCGAACGGGUGAGUAACACGUGAGUAACCUGCCCUUGACUUUGGGAUAACUUCAGGAAACUGGGGCUAAUACCGGAUAGGAGCUCCUGCUGCAUGGUGGGGGUUGGAAAGUUUCGGCGGUUGGGGAUGGACUCGCGGCUUAUCAGCUUGUUGGUGGGGUAGUGGCUUACCAAGGCUUUGACGGGUAGCCGGCCUGAGAGGGUGACCGGCCACAUUGGGACUGAGAUACGGCCCAGACUCCUACGGGAGGCAGCAGUGGGGAAUAUUGCAGAAUGGGCGGGAGCCUGAUGCAGCAACGCCGCGUGCGGGAUGACGGCCUUCGGGUUGUAAACCGCUUUCGCCUGUGACGAAGCGUGAGUGACGGUAAUGGGUAAAGAAGCACCGGCUAACUACGUG